rnacentral:rRNA from 1 species
GAUGAACGCUGGCGGCGUGCCUAAUACAUGCAAGUCGAGCGAACAGACGAGGAGCUUGCUCCUCUGAUGUUAGCGGCGGACGGGUGAGUAACACGUGGAUAACCUACCUAUAAGACUGGGAUAACUUCGGGAAACCGGAGCUAAUACCGGAUAACAUGUUGAACCGCAUGGUUCAACAGUGAAAGACGGUCUUGCUGUCACUUAUAGAUGGAUCCGCGCCGCAUUAGCUAGUUGGUAAGGUAACGGCUUACCAAGGCAACGAUGCGUAGCCGACCUGAGAGGGUGAUCGACCACACUGGAACUGAGACACGGUCCAGACUCCUACGGGAGGCAGCAGUAGGGAAUCUUCCGCAAUGGGCGAAAGCCUGACGGAGCAACGCCGCGUGAGUGAAGAAGGUCUUCGGAUCGUAAAACUCUGUUAUUAGGGAAGAACAAAUGUGUAAGUAACUAUGCACGUCUUGACGGUACCUAAUCAGAAAGCCACGGCUAACUACGUG